GCUCAGAUAGCUUAACUGUCCGAGCCGUUGGUGCUUGACCAAAAGAUCCGGGUUCGAUUCCCGGUCCGGGCU
rnacentral:tRNA from 1 species